UCCCUGGUAGUAUAUCGGUUAGUACACGCGCCUGUCAUUGUCCAUGGUUUUGACCGAUACGCGCGCGAAAGCUGGGUUCGACUCCCAGCCAGGGAG